rnacentral:rRNA from 1 species
GGGAUGACACAGUAGGAUAAGCUAAGCACACUGUUGGUUAUGUGUGCCCAAGCAUUGAGGCAGUCAAAGUAGGCAAAUCCGCUUUGAUAAUGCUGGGAUGUGAUGGGGAGCGAAAUUUAGUAGCGAAGUAGCUGAUUUCACACUGUCAAGAAAAGUCUCUAUCGAGGUUAAAGGUACCCGUACCGCAAACCGACACAGGUGGGUGAGGAGAGUAUCCUAAGGCCAGCGAGAGAACUGUUGUUAAGGAACUCGGCAAAAUGACCCCGUAACUUAGGGAUAAGGGGUGCCACCAUCAGGUGGCCGCAGAGAAUAGGCCCAAGCGACUGUUUACCAAAAACAUAGGUUUCUGCUAAGUCGCAAGACGAUGUAUAGGAGCUGACGCCUGCCCGGUGCUGGAAGGUUAAGGGGAUCUGUUAGAGCAAUCGAAGCAGUGAACUUAAGCCCCAGUAAACGGCGGCCGUAACUAUAACGGUCCUAAGGUAGCGAAAUUCCUUGUCGGGUAAGUUCCGACCCGCACGAAAGGCGUAACGAUUUGGGCACUGUCUCAACAACAGACUCGGUGAAAUUGUAAUUCCGGUGAAGAUGCCGGAUACCUGCGACAGGACGGAAAGACCCCAUGGAGCUUUACUGUAGCUUGACAUUGGGUCUUGGUACUACAUGUACAGGAUAGGUGGGAGGCUUUGAAACCAGGACGCCAGUUUUGGCGGAGCCAUCCUUGGGAUACCACCCUUGUAGUACUGGGACUCUAACCAUAGGCCAUGAAUCUGGUCUUGGGACACUGUCAGGUGGGCAGUUUGACUGGGGCGGUCGCCUCCCAAAAGGUAACGGAGGCGCUCAAAGGUUCUCUCAGUACGGUCGGAAAUCGUACGUAGAGUGUAAAGGCAAAAGAGAGCUUGAUUGCAAGACAUACAGGUCGAGCAAGGAUGAAAAUCGGACUUAGUGAUCCGGUGGUUCUGCGUGGAAGGGCCAUCGCUCAACGGAUAAAAGCUACCCUGGGGAUAACAGGCUUAUCUCCCCCAAGAGUCCACAUCGACGGGGAGGUUUGGCACCUCGAUGUCGGCUCAUCACAUCCUGGGGCUGUAGUAGGUCCCAAGGGUUGGGCUGUUCGCCCAUUAAAGUGGUACGCGAGCUGGGUUCAGAACGUCGUG